GCGUCAGUAGUGCAACUGCUCAGCGCGCAGUGCCGGAAAGAGUGAGAUCCGGAUUCGAAUCCCGGUUGACGCA